rnacentral:pre_miRNA from 1 species
UUCUUUGGUGAUCUAACUGUAUGGUGAAUCAAAAGACCAUAAAGCUAGAUCAGCAAGGCA